CAGUCGCCGCGGUAAUACGUAGGUGGCAAGCGUUGUCCGGAAUUAUUGGGCGUAAAGGGCUCGCAGGCGGUUUCUUAAGUCUGAUGUGAAAGCCCCCGGCUCAACCGGGGAGGGUCAUUGGAAACUGGAAACUUGAGUGCAGAAGAGGAGAGUGGAAUUCCACGUGUAGCGGUGAAAUGCGUAGAGAUGUGGAGGAACACCAGUGGCGAAGGCGACUCUCUGGUCUGUAACUGACGCUGAGGAGCGAAAGCGUGGGGAGCGAACAGGAUUAGAUACCCCUGUAGUCCCUGUCUCUUAUACA
rnacentral:rRNA from 1 species